AACGCAUCUUGCGCUCCUUGGUAUUCCGAGGAGCAUGCCUGUUUGAGUGUCAUUUCAUCUUCUCAACCCACACCCACUGGAUUUAUUUUCUAGGGUGUGUGGCUUGGAUGUGGGGGGAUGUAUUUUUGCAGGCUCUCGAGUCUGCUCCCCUAAAAUGCAUUAGUGGUAUCCGAGCAGAUUAACUACUACAGGUGUGAUAAUUUAUCUAUGCCUCAGUAUGCUGCAUGAAAGGAUCACACUGCUUCUAACAAAAAAAAGAAAAACGGGCCACCGUUUUGAUAAAUUUGACCUCAAAUCAGGUAGGACUACCCGCUGAACUUAA
rnacentral:misc_RNA from 1 species